UACGGAAGCAGCAGGGGGAAUAUUGCACAAUGGGCGCAAGCCUGAUGCAGCCAUGCCGCGUGUAUGAAGAAGGCCUUCGGGUUGUAAAGUACUUUCAGCGGGGAGGAAGGCGGUGAAGUUAAUAGCUUCACCGAUUGACGUUACCCGCAGAAGAAGCACCGGCUAACUCCGUGCCAGCAGCCGCGGUAAUACGGAGGGUGCAAGCGUUAAUCGGAAUUACUGGGCGUAAAGCGCACGCAGGCGGUCUGUCAAGUCGGAUGUGAAAUCCCCGGGCUUAACCUGGGAACUGCAUUCGAAACUGGCAGGCUAGAGUCUUGUAGAGGGGGUAGAAUUCCAGGUGUAGCGGUGAAAUGCGUAGAGAUCUGGAGGAAUACCGGUGGCGAAGGCGGGCCCCUGGGACAAAGACUGACGCUCAGGUGCGAAAGCGUGGGGAGCGAAACAGGAUUAGAUACC
rnacentral:rRNA from 1 species